CAAUCGGCCCUUUUCAGGGCCACUAAUUUACUAUUUCAACGUCUA
rfam:Trichomalopsis sarcophagae strain Alberta scaffold10, whole genome shotgun sequence.